rnacentral:rRNA from 1 species
UUAAGCGUGUAGGCUGGUUUUCCAGGCAAAUCCGGAAAAUCAAGGCUGAGGCGUGAUGACGAGGCACUACGGUGCUGAAGCAACAAAUGCCCUGCUUCCAGGAAAAGCCUCUAAGCAUCAGGUAACAUCAAAUCGUACCCCAAACCGACACAGGUGGUCAGGUAGAGAAUACCAAGGCGCUUGAGAGAACUCGGGUGAAGGAACUAGGCAAAAUGGUGCCGUAACUUCGGGAGAAGGCACGCUGAUAUGUAGGUGAAGCGACUUGCUCGUGGAGCUGAAAUCAGUCGAAGAUACCAGCUGGCUGCAACUGUUUAUUAAAAACACAGCACUGUGCAAACACGAAAGUGGACGUAUACGGUGUGACGCCUGCCCGGUGCCGGAAGGUUAAUUGAUGGGGUUAGCGCAAGCGAAGCUCUUGAUCGAAGCCCCGGUAAACGGCGGCCGUAACUAUAACGGUCCUAAGGUAGCGAAAUUCCUUGUCGGGUAAGUUCCGACCUGCACGAAUGGCGUAAUGAUGGCCAGGCUGUCUCCACCCGAGACUCAGUGAAAUUGAACUCGCUGUGAAGAUGCAGUGUACCCGCGGCAAGACGGAAAGACCCCGUGAACCUUUACUAUAGCUUGACACUGAACAUUGAGCCUUGAUGUGUAGGAUAGGUGGGAGGCUUUGAAGUGUGGACGCCAGUCUGCAUGGAGCCGACCUUGAAAUACCACCCUUUAAUGUUUGAUGUUCUAACGUUGACCCGUAAUCCGGGUUGCGGACAGUGUCUGGUGGGUAGUUUGACUGGGGCGGUCUCCUCCUAAAGAGUAACGGAGGAGCACGAAGGUUGGCUAAUCCUGGUCGGACAUCAGGAGGUUAGUGCAAUGGCAUAAGCCAGCUUGACUGCGAGCGUGACGGCGCGAGCAGGUGCGAAAGCAGGUCAUAGUGAUCCGGUGGUUCUGAAUGGAAGGGCCAUCGCUCAACGGAUAAAAGGUACUCCGGGGAUAACAGGCUGAUACCGCCCAAGAGUUCAUAUCGACGGCGGUGUUUGGCACCUCGAUGUCGGCUCAUCACAUCCUGGGGCUGAAGUAGGUCCCAAGGGUAUGGCUGUUCGCCAUUUAAAGUGGUACGCGAGCUGGGUUUAGAACGUCGUGAGACAGUUCGGUCCCUAUCUGCCGUGGGCGCUGGAGAACUGAGGGGGGCUGCUCCUAGUACGAGAGGACCGGAGUGGACGCAUCACUGGUGUU